rnacentral:lncRNA from 1 species
CCUGAUUCUGUUUGAACAUUAAAUAUUUGAAAUUUGUCUGCUUCAUGAAUUAUAAACCAUACAAACCUUUUCAUUCACAGACAUGAAAAAAUGCCUUCCUACUCAUCAUGGAUUAAAGCUAUUUUCAUCAUGCUCCUAGCCUUUCUUCUUUAUUCUGGUGAGUGUAUUUUCUAGUUCUGACGGAAGCACUUGUCAUAUCCUAGAAAGUGCAUCAACAAUUACCUAAUUCAGGAGUAGGGGGACUAAUUGUGUUGGGCAGUAACAUUUAAUUGGUAAUGUGAAAUAGGGUAUGUUACCCAUGUCUUUUUGAAUUUGCAUGAGUAAAUUCUUUAUUCUCAUGUUAGAGAACUAGAGAUAGAAUGGUGGGUUAGAAAUGGCAGUAGAUCUUAGCUCUUCGCUCAUCCUUAACUGAAAAAGUCAAAACUCUUUUUCCUUUUGGUAAGUCUGAUUCUGUAGUUGUUAAAUCAAAGUAUGAGUGAAACUCUUCUCUUCCUAACCUGGAACCCCUUAACAAUUUGAGUCAAUGUUUAUCUGCUCUGAGUCUCCUAAAGUCAAGGCCUAUUGGUGUAUGGAAGAUGCACACUGACAUAUAACCAAGUUAUUUCCCUUAAACUUAUGGUGUUUGAAUUUCAGAAUAAAGCAAUCUUUAAGGCAUUAAAUUAAGGUAUAAUUAAUUAAGUAUUGCUUAAUUUUUUAUAUUUGAAUGAAUCAUGUAAGCAUUGUCCCUUUUGACUAAGAUCUCAACUAUAAAUCUGAAGAAACAAUGGAAGAUGUUACAAAGUAAUAUGUAAAAUUAUUUUUUAUCAGGUAAACUUAGGACUUCAAAAUGUUUUAAAAAUGCUUUAUUUUAAGAAUUUAGUAUUUUGCUACUGCUGUUUUUAGCUACUAAGAGAUGUGGUCACUCACUAAUCAGGUUGUGUUUUUUGUAAGUUUAUGUUUUUAUUCCUUUUCAUUUGUGUAUUUUUUUGUCCUUGAUUGUUGCAGAAACUUCCCUUCUGUUUAAACAAGGUAAAAAGCGAAAGCCAGAUUGUAUUUUAUACACAUUUAAAUCAAAUCCUAUUUGCACCAGUGAACUUGAUCCAGUCUGUGCAAGCAAUGGCCGAACUUACCGGAAUAAAUGUGUUUUCUGCAGUGAAAAAAUAAUUUUGGGUGAAAAAAUUAAAUUUGUUCGUUACGGGUUUUGCUGAAUUUUGAUGGAGCUAUGCAUCCUCUGGGCUGUGAUGUGAUCCUGGUUUACCGUGGAUUCUACAGCUAGAAUGACUACAGUCUUUUUCAAUCAGAGUCUUGAAUUCAUAGACGUCCACAGAACUCCUUUUUGUAGGAGGACAAGAUGGAACAUAGCAUGGGGAAAGAUUCAUUUCCACCUCUAAGAUUUUGUGAUUUUUAAG